rnacentral:lncRNA from 1 species
UUCUAUAAAUACCCCACCAUCAUUUGCUUUCGGAUCCCAGCAUCUCCUCAAACAUCCCUCUUGUUUCUUGGUCUUGAUUCGUGAUUCAGAAAGAAGGUUCUGCCAAAUCAAGAGGGGUAUUCUGAUCAUAGUGUGUGUGUGCAACAAUGGCUAUGGCUAAGUUCCUUGCAGCUAUGAUCUUGGCACUCAUUGCCAUUUCCAUGCUUCAAACCGUGGUUGGUCUUUAACAAUGUCUAAGAACCAGACACAUUUAAUGUUUUUCAUGUUUUGGUACCACUAGCGUACUAGUGUUGAGAGAUUGAAGGCUUCUUACACUUUUAAUGGCUUUAUUUUUCAGGUUAUGGCUGCAAAUGGGCAUGGAGACCACCUGAAUGAUAACAAGGUAUGCUGCAUCUCUUUCUCUCUGGUUUUGUGAAGAAUGAAAAAUGGGGUCUAGGGAUUUUGCUUUCUAAGGGGUGAAUCAGUGCUGAUUUAUGCUGUUUGUUUCUGCAGAGCAAAUAUGGAAGUGGGAGUCUCAAGAGUUACCGUAAGUAAACUUCAUUUCUUCAACUUGUCUUUUUAUGGCAUCAAGCAAUGUAUAUAUGUCAACAGAUUUCUCCAACUCCAAACUUUGCAUAUAAAAAAUGGUGGCGACACUGAGAAUGGAAGAAGGAAAAUUUUUAAGAACAUUCCCAAAAAGCUCUCAGUGCAGAUCUUGGAUUGUUAUUUUCCUAUUAUUUUUUUCAUUUAAGCCAAAUUAUGCUCACAUGAUUCUCUACCUCUCUUUUCAAUGCUCUUAACUAACCAAACCGACAUAUAAUAUUAUUUGUACUUUUUUUAUAAAUUAAAAAAAAAAAAAGUUCUACAAUUUUAUUAUUGUUACAUCUCUCUUCACUGUCAAUUUUAGUUUGACUGUGGUCAAUUUUUUUCCAAUAAAAGCUGCAUUUUUUUAGUGUUUUGACUGAUGUGUGAAAAGAGAGGAGUCAAAGAGCUAUUGAUUACUGGAUUGACCAUACCGGUUGCCUCUUUUGUUUCUUACCAAUGCUCAAUAUGUCUCUUUUGGGAAUAUGAAAUGACCAGAAUGCCCAUCACAAUGCUCGAGGAGAUGCAACAAGACCCAAUACCACAAGCCCUGCAUGUUUUUCUGUCAGAAGUGCUGCAGGAAGUGCCUGUGUGUUCCUCCGGGUUAUUAUGGUAAUAAGGCUGUGUGCCCUUGCUACAACAACUGGAAGACCAAGGAGGGAGGACCCAAGUGCCCUUGAGCUUCAACCUCAUCAACAUCAAAUGUUGCUUUCUUAUAUAUUUAUCACUUCCUUCAUUGUUCCAUUUAAGGCACUAGCUUACUUCCCUACUAUUCACAUGUCCUAACUAAAUGAUAUAGCCCCUUGUGGUGGCACUAUGAUGUAUGUUUUCUUAUGAAUUUUGGGAUGUCCUCCCUCUAAGGACCACAUCCGUAGUAUCACUCCUUAGGACUUGCUUUCCUUUCAUGUGAGUGGCUUACUUAUAUCAAUACAUCAUCUGUGGAACUUAUUUCUAGUUUAAUGUCUUAUAAUUUUGGAAUCAAUGGGGGCUUCGGUGAUGCAUUGAAUCAUUGAAUAGAUAAUUGGGUUACUUCAUUCUUAUUACAAAGAGCAAUCUUUUUUCCCUGUCAGAGUAGUGUAGUUUCUUCUUUACAAGGUCCCUAUUUAUUACCAGAUAGGUGUGCAUGUGAUAAGGCAAAAGUGAUGCUCUUGCUC